GACGAACGCUGGCGGCGUGCUUAACACAUGCAAGUCGAACGGAAAGGCCCUGCUUUUGUGGGCUGCUCGAGUGGCGAACGGGUGAGUAACACGUGAGUAACCUGCCCUUGACUUUGGGAUAACUUCAGGAAACUGGGGCUAAUACCGGAUAGGAGCUCCUGCUGCAUGUUGGGGGUUGGAAAGUUUCGGCGGUUGGGGAUGGACUCGCGGCUUAUCAGCUUGUUGGUGGGGUAGUGGCUUACCAAGGCUUUGACGGGUAGCCGGCCUGAGAGGGUGACCGGCCACAUUGGGACUGAGAUACGGCCCAGACUCCUACGGGAGGCAGCAGUGGGGAAUAUUGCACAAUGGGCGGAAGCCUGAUGCAGCAACGCCGCGUGCGGGAUGACGGCCUUCGGGUUGUAAACCGCUUUCGCCUGUGACGAAGCGUGAGUGACGGUAAUGGGUAAAGAAGCACCGGCUAACUACGUG
rnacentral:rRNA from 1 species